AAUUCAAGUCCAAACCCGCUCGUUUCUCUUCAAAACCCUGUGUCUCAAAAUCUCUCGCUUUUCCUCCUCGAGUUAUUUACUUGUUUUAAACAAACAGAGAAAAAACAAAUAUGCACACAAACCUCUCCCACCCACACACACACAACAACAACCACUUCUCUCAUUUUGCUGGCUCUCUGCUUCCAUGUCUCUCUGGAAGUGAAAUUGUAAACCACCACCACCAUCAACACACACUCUAAUAAACAUAAACAUAAAAAUCCUAAAAAAAACUGCCAUGGAUACUCAUGAGAUAACUAACAUACUGUUAACGAAACUCAAGAGUUUAGAUCCAGAAAACGCCUCUAGAAUUAUGGGUUUUAUUCUCAUACAAGACCCUACUGAAAAAGAUUUGUUACGGUUAGCGUUUGGCCCUGAAACCCUCUUGCAAAAUGUAGUCUUCAAGGCAAAAAUCCACUUAGGACUCUCUACUAACACGUUAUCUACACCUUCUACACCCUCUUCUCCGUCACCACUCAAUCCCAUAGCAAGGCCUUGUAAUAACACCAACCCCUUUCCACAAUCUUCUCCUAGAAUCACAAAUAAUGGUUCUUUUCUUGACUUUUCAAAAAACCCGUCUCCAAAUCCUUGGUCCGUUCACGGGCUGCCAAAUAAUAGUGACAGUAAGAGUUCAAUUAGCCCAAAGAGCAGUCCUUUUUUGUCCUAUGAUAAUAUACGUUCUGGGUCUGUUUUGGUGCCGCCAUUCUCGAGAAAUGGUGGUAAUGGCGGUGGUGUUUGCAGCAAUAAUAGUGCCGAUUUCCUUGGCGAGUAUCAGUCAGAUGAUCAUCUGUCGUUCUUCGAUGACCCCUCUUCAAAAAACGAGGACUUUAUGGACCAAAGGGUUCAGAUGGGUGGUUAUUCAGUUGCUAAUGGAGAUGUCCAUUUGCAUAGAAGAAGGUUUUCAGAGAGUGAUGCGUGUUCUGGUGCUGAGGAUGGGGGUUUUGGUCUCCGGUAUAGGCAGUGCCUGUAUUUUGCUAGAGGGUUUUGCAAAAAUGGAGAAAGUUGCAAGUUUGGUCAUGGUGAUGAAAAUAUGGCUGAGGUUAAUGUUGGUGGUGCUCUUGUGAGUUCACCAAGGGAAAUGGAGGAACUUUAUUUGCAGCAGCAAGAGGAGAUGAUGAAAAGGAAGGCUGUACAGCAGCAGCAAGAGGAGAUGAUGAAAAUGAAGGCUGUACAGCAGCAGCAGCAGCAAAGGUUGGCUUAUAACAAGCACAUGAAUUUUCUGUUGCUGCAACAAAAUGAAGCCGAGAGAUUUGGCGCAGCAAUGAUGGGUGAUGAAUUUUACAAGUUUGGCCGGACCCGUGGUGGAAGGAAUGACUUUUUGGCAAUGGGAAUGGCUGAAAAGGCAAAUUCAGCAUCUAGACAGAUAUACUUGACAUUCCCAGCUGACAGCUCUUUCAAAGAUGAAGAUGUUUCAAAUUAUUUCAGUUCUUUUGGACCAGUUCAAGAUGUCAGGAUUCCAUACCAGCAGAAGCGAAUGUUUGGAUUUGUUACAUUUGUCUACCCAGAGACUGUGAAGGAAAUAUUGGCAAAGGGAAACCCUCAUUAUAUUUGUGAGUCGCGUGUGCUUGUCAAGCCAUACAAGGAGAAAGGAAAAGUUGCAAACAGGACGCAACAGUUACUGGAGAGGGGGGGUUUUUCACCUGCUUCAAGCCCUUCAGGGUUUGAUCCUAGAGAGCUAUGUGAUCUUCACCUUGGAGCAAGAAUGCUUUAUAAUACUCCAGAAAUGAUGCUGAGAAGGAAAUUGGAGGAGCAGGCAGAGUUGCAGCAAGCUAUUGAACUCCAGGGGAGAAGGUUAAUUAAUCUGCAACUUCCAGACUUGAGGGGAGAUCAUGCACAUCAUCACCAGCAUAGUCUCUCUGUUGGUGCUCCCAUUUCUCUGCCCACUCAUCAUACUCCCAUCAAUCAAACUGAUAUUCUAACCUCUGAUGGCAAGAAUGAGAUAACAUUAGAAGACAAUGGGAAUUGCUCAGGGGCCUCUAAAUCCACCCUUGUUCCUGUUGCUGCAGAGAAUCUUCAGGAUGAAGUGAAUGCAGCUUGCAUUCAGAACAAUGACACUGUUAAUUGCAAGGUGGAGAGCUUCACUGAAAGCCAUGGAAGCAAUUUCGAACGUGAUAGCCUCACAAAAUCUUCUGAGAAUCAGCAUCCGGACAUGUCCCCAUCUCGGGCCGAAGUUGAAGAAAGCAAUGAGUUAUCUGUCUCUUCGUGUUCUGAAAACGACGCAUCAGUACCCACCACAUCUACCAGCAACGAGGCUUCUAAUUGAGUUCUAAAUGCCAAGCUAAUGUUUUGUAGGUAAUAAAGUUUAGUGUGGCCAAAGAGAUUAACUUAACUAGGAAAAAUAGAGAAGCACAUAGAAGGAAGAAAGAUCCUGUUGAUGUAUAGCCUAUAUGAUACCUGCGCUUGAUGGUAGAUCCGCAGAGAUUACCUCAGCUAGAUUACCAUCCUUGUCAUCAAUACGAUACUACUAACAGCAACUGCAUUUUACAUACGUGGUGGACGGACGAACUAGUUUGAGUAGGAUCUUCUCUUAGCUACUUCUUGCCCUGUUGUAGGUUGUGUGCUGGACCACAGACUGUAGCUGGACUUCAAAUAUCAUGGCUCUUGUUAUUAUGACAAUUACACGCUUACAAUCUCUUACCAUCGUUGUCUUAUAAUUGUUGAACACUAAGCAGCCUUUUAAACGGUGUUAAGAGGAUCAGAAUUCAA